UGGCUCUGACCUUAAAGAAGAAGUUAAUCACUUUUUUUUCUUUUUGCUUAUAGGAUUUCAAUUUAAAUUCUUCCUGACUGUACUGUAUAGAAUCAAAAUGCUAUAAAUAAGCGAGCCAUUUGCCAGCUUACUACAUUUACUUGGUUGCAGCACGUGUCUUCCUGGAGCAAUCAAAAAACACAAGGAAAGAUGAAGCUGCUUAUAGUAUUUGGGUUCUGCUGUGUUAUUGCUCUGACUGCAGCGUCAAUAAAUGAGAACAAUGAAUCAACUGUCAUGGGAGAGGAACCCGAUGCAAAGAUGGAGGUCAUGGAAAGCUCUGACCAAGACGAAUCCGAAGACCAGCCCUUUGAAGACCGGAAAGAGAUGAACAAAGACAACGACGAUGAUGACCUUGAAAUGACAGAAGGCAAAGAGGACACAGAAGAUGCCAGAAUGGAAAAAUCUCCCUUUUGGAGAAGAAGGCGUCGUCAUGUCAUUUACGUGCGUCGCCGUCAAAUUUACUAUUACCGCCGCCGUUAUUCUUACUACUACCGCCGCCGACAUUCUUACUACUACCGCCGCCGUCAUUAUUAUUACCAUCGACGUCGCUUCUACGGUUAAAGACUUUUUUACGUUCUCUGUUUCAUAUGCUCUUUGUUUUGGAUACAGUUUUUUAAGGACUGUUUCAAGUAGUCUGAAACGUUUUUCAUAGAAAAGAUCGCGAAUUU